AGACCCUGCAACAAUCCCUAGCCAAGAAGAACAAGAACCAUCAACCACCAGUUCAGUGUUCCUGUCAGCCAUCUGAAGCGCUGACAUUUAUCACCACUGAGAAUCAAUUUAUAUAUACCACCUCGUGUUUACGUUACCCAUCUGUGGUGCUGUCUGAUCAGACAAGAAAAGGGAAGUGACUGUUCUUUGCAAAUAACUUCUCCAACAGUUUCUUGGAAUCAGAUAUUCCAGCUAAUCAGCCCUGCCUUCACAGGACGUUUUUAACGCAUUGCCAGAUACACUCACUAGGUCCACCUCUCCCAAGUUGAGCUGUGCCCGACCCAAGGUCCGCCAGCCCUCCCACCACAAUGGCCGGAACUUCACUGCCAUC